GGAAACUUUUCCGAAUGAAUUUACUUCUGGUGAUGGAAAAACAGCACACAAGGAUUUUGGACAUUUUUAUGAUUCUAUUCUCUCGAAUCCAUUCAGCAAUGCAAGAAAGUUCCUUUGAAUAAUGAGCAGGGU